AGUUUGAUUCAUGGCUCAGAACGAACGCUGGCGGCAGGCCUAACACAUGCAAGUCGAGCGCUACCUUCGGGUGGAGCGGCGGACGGGUUAGUAACGCGUGGGAACGUACCCUUUUCUACGGAAUAGCCUCGGGAAACUGAGAGUAAUACCGUAUAAGCCCUUCGGGGGAAAGAUUUAUCGGGAAAGGAUCGGCCCGCGUUAGAUUAGAUAGUUGGUGGGGUAAUGGCCUACCAAGUCUACGAUCUAUAGCUGGUUUUAGAGGAUGAUCAGCAACACUGGGACUGAGACACGGCCCAGACUCCUACGGGAGGCAGCAGUGGGGAAUCUUAGACAAUGGGCGCAAGCCUGAUCUAGCCAUGCCGCGUGUGUGAUGAAGGUCUUAGGAUCGUAAAGCACUUUCGCCAGGGAUGAUAAUGACAGUACCUGGUAAAGAAACCCCGGCUAACUCCGUGCCAGCAGCCGCGGUAAUACGGAGGGGGUUAGCGUUGUUCGGAAUUACUGGGCGUAAAGCGUACGUAGGCGGAUCAGAAAGUAUAGGGUGAAAUCCCAGGGCUCAACCCUGGAACUGCCUUAUAAACUCCUGGUCUUGAGUUCGAGAGAGGUGAGUGGAAUUCCAAGUGUAGAGGUGAAAUUCGUAGAUAUUUGGAGGAACACCAGUGGCGAAGGCGGCUCACUGGCUCGAUACUGACGCUGAGGUACGAAAGUGUGGGGAGCAAACAGGAUUAGAUACCCUGGUAGUCCACACCGUAAACGAUGAAUGCCAGUCGUCGGGCAGUAUACUGUUCGGUGACACACCUAACGGAUUAAGC
rnacentral:rRNA from 2 species